GGACAUCUGGAGUGAUGGCGUUUGUCUUCCCAAGUAACCGUUACGCGUGAUGGAGCCCUGCUUUCCUGGAGACGGCUGAACACCUGCCUGCCCAUGGGAAGGAGUGACUGAAUUCCUUGUUUUGCUUUGCUUCUGUGUGCAGCUUUUGCUUUACCUAUUAAACUGUCUUUAUCUCAACCCAUGAGUUGCCUCACUUUUACUCUCCCAAUUCUUUCCCCCGUCCCACCAGGGGGGAGUGAGCGAGCGGCUGCGUGGUGCUUGGUUGCUGACUGGGGCUAAACCACGACAGUCCAUUUUGGCGCCCAACGUGGGGCACGAAAGGUUUGAGAUAAUGACAGAUUUGAUUGGAAUGUGCUAGGUGGAAUUUAUAGUGGUUAUUGCUGUUUAGCUAUUAACUGGCAGGCUUCUGUGCUUGCUAUGGGGCUUGCCUGACUUACUGUAUAUACAUACACUGUAUGCCUUAAAGUCUAGAGCUCAUUAGUGGCUGCUUUUUGCUUUUGCUGCUUGCUGUACUGCUUAUCACCUUACCCUGCCGGGCCUGGGAACAUUCUGAUAACAGCCAUGGCGAUGCGCCUGGGCUGGCAGAUGGCCAGGGCCCAGCUGCUGUUUCUGUGCUGCUGCACUGGACAGGCUGGAACUCCAGUGUGAACUCGAGUCAAAGCGACUAUGACCUGUGGAUGAGUCCAUGUGGGAGCAGGACACCCCAAAGCAUCUGUGGCUGUGUAUAAGCCCAUGCCAGAGCAGGUAUAUCUCGAAGCAUCUGUGCCCUUGGUUAUGUCUGUGCCACAGCAGGUAUACCUCUGAGGCAAUUGUGGCCCAAGGAUAUAUCCAGCUUGGAGAAGGUACACCUCGAAGUGUCUGUGGCUGUGCAUGAGGUCAUGCCAGAGCACCUCAAAGUGUGUGGCCAUGGAUAAGCCCACAACGGAGCAGGCUUACCUCUGGGGGGACUGAAGUCAUGGGGCAAAGCCAUGUUGGAGCAGGCUUUGGAGGGACUACAGCCAUGGGCAAGGCUGUGUUGGAGCAGGUUUGCUUCUGGAGGGACUGCAGCCAUGGGCAAGGCCAUGCUGGAGCAGGUAUAGCUCUGAAAGCAUUGAGGCCCAUGCAGAAAGCCACCCUGGAACAGGCACAUGUCAAAGCAACUGUGGCUCUGGGUAAGUCUAUGCUGCAGCAGGUGUGCCCCUGGAGAGACUGUGGCUCCUGGGUAAGGCUCCACUUGGAGCAGGUACAACCCUAAAGGGCUACAGUCUGUGGCUAAGUCCAAACCAGAGCAGGGGCGAGGGGAGGAGUUCAUUACAAUGUUAAACCUGAUAGUCUGAUCCAAAUGGACCAGGGGUGGAGAUUGUAAUGGAAAUACCUUUAAAUUGUUCUAACCCGAGAUUUGAGUUACAUAUUAUGGAAAUUACUAUAGCAGAAACCCCUUGUUGCUAGCCAGGCUGGGAGCAAGGGGAGGAGUUAAUUGCAACGUUAAAACCUAUAACCUGGCCCAAAGGGGCCAGGGGUGGAGAUUGUAAUGGACAUACCUUUAAAUUGUUGUAACCCGUGAUUUGAGUCACACAUUACAGGAAUUACUACAGCAGGAACCACCCAAACCAAUGGAGGACAAGCAUUUCAAGAAGCAGUGCAAGUGUAGCAGUGAUCUGACCUGAGCUGGUAAAGCAGCUUUUGCUUUACCUAUCAAGCUGUCUUUAUCUCAACCCAUGAGUUGCCUCACUUUUACUCUCCCGAUUCUCUCCCCCGUCCCACCAGGGGGGAGUGAGCGAGCGGCUGCGUGGGGCCUGGUUGCUGACCGGGGCUAAACCACGACACAGGGUAGUGUUUCUCAGCUGUCAGUCCAGCCCCUACUGAAGUUGCAUAACUGGAACCGAAGGCAGAAUCCAGCUCCCAGGUCUGAAUGCAGCAGAGCAUUUAUAUUCCUGUUUCUCUCCAAGACAGUGUGUGGCCCUGUUGGCUUUCUGGGCUGCCCAUAAGCUUGAAAGGGAUUGGAAAAACUCUGGAAGACACAGGCAGAUCUAACAAGAUGGUCUUACGAUCUUAUGUGCUCCAUCACAGCAGAUGUGGCCACGCUGGUGGUGAAGGGGAUUUGGGAUCAGGUGACUUCAGCUGGCCCAUCUCCACCUUUUUGUGAGAUGAAUGGUGUGCUUGGAUCUCAUCUCUUUGUAUUUACAGAGUAUCACAGGUAAUGACUUCAUCUUCCCUGGAAGAAGCCAACAAGCCUCUAGCAACCCAUGAUCUACACAAAAAGAACCUUACUCUCACUCUAUGUGAAAGUAAAUCAGGAGUUUCAUAACUGCAGGACCCCGGACAAGAAAAAUAGGAAACAGUGUUGAACGCGCCAAGAUAUAAGACACAAAAAAAAUAUCUUCUUCUGCUUAUAGCCACAAGAGAAAUGAUCAAAUUAGUAUCAGGAAAGCUUCCUGACUUGUCAUAUGUAUUAAGAUGUUACUUAUGCAUCUGCACUUUUCUGCAGGUAUCUCUUAUCUUUUUAGAAAAAAGAUCAAUUUCCUGUGUUUAACAGUCUUUGGUUCAGAGCUUCCAUUUAUGAAAGACACUUGUACAAUGCAUCAUGCACUGUAGACAAUUGAAUAGAGGUUGGACACCCUUAUACAGCUGAACCUGACAUGUAUCUGAAUCACCACAAACAGUGGGGAAAGGUAAAGCGUGUCAUUUUGCAUAUGACUCCAUCUUCUAUAUAUUUAACAAAAUGAGUUGAAAUUGUUCCACAGUUCCCAGAAUGUACUUGACCAUGGAGGGAGCCCACACUGUAAAGCCAACAUAAUUUUAGUGAGGAAAGGUUUGACUGGUCCUUAAGACUCAGCCUGUUUUUAGCAGUGGUUCUUCUAAUUCAGAAGAAUACGUCAGUGGUUUCACAGAGGUAGUAUGGUGAGCAUUAGUGACACAUGAGCCAUUUGGAAAUAUAUAGCCCUUUUGAGACCUUCUGCUGCUUCCUGUGAUGUUGCUUCCUACUCCAGUGACACUGAUGGUUGUUCCUGGAUAGAAAAAUAUUUGUCAAGUUGUGGAAUGAGUCAGGCCAGCUGAAAGUUUCCCGCUCUUUGUGAACUUCUGUAUUCAUUGCUGGUCAGGAUGUCUACUUCAUGGAGACCUGGGGAGGAGUGAGGCAGACUGGCUGGUACAGACUCUGCAGUCAAGGACCCUUACUAGACCCAACCAUCAUAAUCCUCUGUGAUGCCCACCAAGAGCAUUCAAAAGUGAAAAUUACUGUUGUGUUCCUUCUUUCUCUCCCCCCGGGGUUUGUGAGCCUGUGGGUCUUUUCUGUGAGAUGCGAAACACUGAACUCCUUGGGUCUGUGUUCCCCUGCCCAAACAUGGAGGAACCCAGUAUCCAAGCAGGAUCCAUCCCCGCAGAGCUGUUUGCAGAGUUGCAGAGUAAGGUGUCAGCCUGCCACAGCGUGCUUUCCCCCAUAGCUUGAAAUAUUGUCAGAGGAAGAAUCUGCAGAGGAUUGCUUGUCAUCUGAUUGCGUUAUUUUUCAACCACACAAGCAAUAAAUAUUUAAAGUCUGGUUAUAGGCAAUGUAACAACUCAGUAAAUAUGUGGUUCUGAAUACAGAAGUGAGAGGCUGAUCUUUUCUUUUAAGAGGAAACAAAUACAUCUCUGUUUGGCAUGAAGUGUCCUACUCCCCAUUCUGUAAGCAGGAAUAUGUUGAGGCAAUUUUGCUGUUAUGAAUGAAGGUGGAACUAAAGGCGGAAAAGUACUGCUGCAUAUUUAUUGCUACCUCCUGGCUAUCCUCUGUUCUCCUCCAUUUGUCAGAUGGAAGUAUUAGAUCAAUGCCCGGUAAGGAAAGGCAGGGACUGAGAGAGGGAAAAGAGAAACUGAAUAGCUUCAGUCUCGCUGCUGCUUCUUUUUCUCUCCUUGCCAUCCCCACCAUGUUCUUUCCCAUGACAGAGAAGCCGUGAUCAGUAAUGGAGAGAGAAAGCAGUAUGGGAGUUCCUGUGAGUUUUUUUGCCUUCUCUACAGCAUCAUGUGAACUUCAGCUAUUUUAAGUAAUUUGGUUUUACAGGAAUACUUGCAGCUGGUUUAUGGAAACUGAAAUUGACAAUUGACAUGAGCCUGAAGACCCAUAUCAGCAGUAGUGGAAGAGGGCAGCAGUAGGAGAAGAGGUGAGAACAACCUGUGGAAAUGAUUGAAAGAUCAGUGCACUUUAGGUGUCAUUGAACAUUGACUACAGACAUUCAAGUGUGGAAAUAAAUCCAGGCCUGUUUUGAUGUCCAUUGUUAUGAUUAGAUUAGAUUUUGUGCCUUUGAAAGAGCUUUGAGAAGAAAAAAAAUGUACUCUGACAUUGACUGAAUGAAGAUCUAGGCUCUCAGUUGAGUUAAGUCGAGCAGCAGAUCUAUGGCAGUGUGGGGAGGAUCUAGUUCUGCACAGUGCCAUCUCUAUCUUUCCUGUUUUUUUCAAGACAGUUUCUUGUAUGGGUUUUUUUUGAAGUGGUUUUACGAAGUGCUUUUGCAGUUGAGAAGUAACUCGGUGAUUUGACUCAUGUGGCUUGUUUCUCCUCUGUGAGGCAUAGUUAGUAAAGUUUUUUGAAUGUAUAAAUGACUAGCAGAAUGCGAUGAUGUGUGCUGUAUCUUACACCCCUGCUGUUUCUAAAAUCCAUUUUAGAAUCCAUUUAGUGGGAAAAACUCUAGUGGUCAUCUCAGAACAGGCCUUAUCAAACUGUUACAUAUGAAGAGAAGUUUCCUCUUUACAAAGCCCAUCUGAGGCAUAGUAGAAUAUUUAUUACAUGGCUGGCAGUAUCCUUCUGCCUGAGGGAUGGACUGCAAUUACAGCAUGGUAAAUAUUUCAUUAGAACAAAGCAAAACUGCAUGAGAAGUAACCUUCCCUUUAUUUAAAACAUUUAUUAAAAUACAAAGUAAGAAUCUACAUGGGAAUAAUUCUUUCUACCCAAUCAACCAACUACGCUGCAAUUUUAGGUGAGAUAUUUUGUUAUUACAAAACCUUGCAUAUUAGAGUAAUUUAUCUUUCCCUCUGAGAAAGAUGGGCAUCUUAACCCAGAUUAAAUUUAAUGUACACUGGUGUUCCUUAUACCAUUCUGGCUCUGUUAAGGAAGUAAGAGCAGGUACAAGCAGAGUCUAGUCCCCUUAUAAAAUCCCUUCCUUUCACAAGAAUGGUGUAAAUGUAAUUUAAGUGCAAGACCUAAACACAAAUGAAUGUUGAAGUCUGCUCACAUGAGUGGGAAGUAGUCACUUCAAUACUGCAUAAUGGUGCAUGGCAGUAUUGGGGACCAAUGGUCCACAUUAAAUACCUUCUGACUUCUAUUUGUUUUAAAAAUGUUAAUUUCUCUGGAAACUGAAGAGAUACAAAACCACUUUUUUUGAGUGCUCACCUUUUGCAGCAAUUUACUUAGUGAAUAGAGAAGACAUCUAAGAGUGCGUUGAAGAAUGAGGUGUUAUUGAACAGUAAUUUGGCAAUAACUCCUUUUCACUGGAAGUCAUCUUUCUACUAGAGGACCAGAUUAUACAAUGUUGAGCCUAUAAUACUCCACUUUAUCUGCUAGAGGGUUAAGGUGAGGCCCCAAGUCUGUAGCCUGGUCCUACAGUGGUAAUGGCCUUAUUGCUUCUUCAAAGGCUAAGGGACUAAAGGAAAACGAUCAUCCUCUCACUGUGCCAGUCACAGGGAGCCUCAGACCCCUUUUUGCGCCUGCUUUCUGUGCUUAUUGGAGAGAUGCUGCUUCCACUUCAGGUCUUCAGGCAAUUGAACUCCUUUCCCAUGGUAUUUAUUCUUUGAGUAGUAAGACUUUGUUCAGUGUCUUUCUCUCUCUAGGCUCCUGGUCAGUCCUUCCCUGCCAGCGAGGAGAGUGCUACCUACUUCACUUUGAAUAAUCUGUAGGCUAGAUGUGCAGUUUCAGUGUGGAGAAUCACUGUUCCUGAUCACUGAUCACCUGGGACCAUGAAGCAAAUCUCUUUGUUGAGCAUCCUAAGCCAGCAAAACUCGAUUAUGCUGCAGUAUAUACAAAACCAUUCCUCAAAACCAUUCCUCACAGAUCAGCACUAACCUCAUAGCAUGCCUUCCCAUCUGUACCAGCUGCUGCCUCUGCUGCUGCCCAGCAGUGAACUUCUACAGGGAGCUGCCAACUUGUCUCUGGGCCAAAUGUACCUUUUCAGGCCAGUGUGAGUAGUCACCAACCCUCUUUAAGUCGUUGUGACCUGUAAAGAAGCAAGUUGACUUUAGCAGAGAAGAGUCAACCAGAAAAAUUUCUGGAUCACAUUAGUUAGUCCAGAUAAUUUUAUUGUUUUAUUGGUGUGCUUUGUCAUAAUGCCCUGAGCUUCAAUAGGGACUUCUUCAACUACACUGGAAAGCUGACACAAUGCAAAAGUUAAUGUACAGAGAAACCUUUCUCUAGAGAGCCCUUACCAUUCUUGAUGUUACAAGAAUACAGAUGCUGAAAACCUGUGUCCCCUGUUUAAAACCGUGGCUGGCUUUCACCCUGAGAAAGGGAUCCUGCAGUAAAUCUGCUCUAGGGCAUAAAGUAGCCAUUCAUUGCAUAUAGCAUGAGCUAGCUCCUGAAAUGCAGCAUCAGCUCCAGAGUCCAAAAUGCAUUUAGGUUAAAUGCUGGCUUCCUUUGGGUGGCCUCCAGACUCUGAGGAUGCAACUGCAAAGCAUUCUAGUGAGACUCACAAAAAUAUGCAAGAACGUGACAAGGAAGUCUCCAAAGUGCACUCCCAGGGCUGGGCUUAUGUGCAGUGCAGUGCAGAGGCCCCGAGGAAACAGAGACUUAAGCCAAUGCAUUGCCAGAGGACUGUGCAACUGAGCCUGAGCCAUGGGAGCCCACAGACAUGCUCCUGGCUUUCCCCCAGCCUUAUGGGCAGGCGGCAAAGGGAGGCCAUGCUGCGCUUCCCAGUGCCUCCUCCUCCAGGGUUAGUAGAGCCCUGUGAAGCAGCUCUGAGCUACUUAAGCUUAGAUGAUUUAAGCUUUUACUUUCUGUAUUUUUUUUUUUAAUUCCUCUGUCACAGGUAGUAAUGAGUAUCUCAAAGACACAGAGUCUGAAUAUGUACAGUUGGCCAUUGGGAUACUAGGUAGUGCCUGAGCAGUGGAAGUUGAGGAUUUCACGUGUUAACACUAAAACAGCAUUUGGGUGCCUAAUUCCUUUGGAAACCUAAGCCUUGCACUCAUCUUUUGUGGGUUACAGGAGUAAGGCAGCAGCCACACAGACAUGUUCUCCUCUAGGGAGGUAGUCAGGCUUUCUGUGCCUGUCCUUUUUCUUAGCACUAAUAUAAGCAGUGCUCCACAUGCAAAUAACUAUGCCAGGAUUUGUGUACAGUCCUGUGCCAGAAGACAAACCGUACAGCUCUACGUUUGUAAUCCUGCUUUCCUUCACUAAGAAGUCAGGGCAAUGAAAUCUCACAAAAAUGCAUGAAAACACAAUUAUAUUUUAUUUAAAAGCAACAAUGAAUAACUACAAAUAUAUAACACUCAACAGCAAAAGAACGAAAGCGGGGUUUUAUAGCUUUAAGUUAGCAAGGCAGAUAGUAAAUGGACAAAAAAGUUUAGGUACUUGCUGCCUCCUGGGAGGUUUAUGUGGAUGUACCAAAAUGAAGAUGGGUCUUUGGAGUUGCAUUCCUCCCAGAGAGUGCUCUCUUGGUGGGAGUGUUGGUGUACCUCCAGCAAUAUCCAUUAUGGUUGUCUCUCAUAUAUAUAUAUGGAUGUUAGGAAUCCCAAAGAACCCUAACACUAGCAAUUUGCAGUUAUGUUUAAUACUUUAAGUAGUUAUUGAAGGCAUGAAUAUGUUGUCAUCAUGAGAUGAGAUACUCUUAAAUUCUGUAAGUUAAAAUCUUUUCUGCAAAACAAAGAAUGUGAACAGCUGGCUCCUGGAACAGUGCCUUGGUUUGCCUUUUUGAUCAUGAAUUUCUACAUCUCUGCGCUUGUCAGGGUUUUGUUAGAACAAUUUUUACAUCCAAACUCACAUGUACGUCAUCUGUCAACCAAUUACUGGAGGUUAUUCAAAGGUUAUAUUUGAAGUAUUCAUUUGAGAUAUAAAGCGAGCAUUUCAUUCAUUGAUAAUGGUUGCUGAACAAAGGCUUGAAAAUCCUAAAGGAACCAUCAGAAUAGAUUUCAACUUCUACAUUGUGGGAAGAGCAUUGCAAAUUCAAAGUGUGACCUUGACAGAAGCAGCAGGUAGCUGUGCUCACACCUUCUAAAGUAUGAGGGACACGUUUGCAUAAUUGACUGGAAAUGCUUUUCAUGUGACUGACAUGUUUAAUAUUUGCUUGGGGUUCUGAGCCUGCACCA